GGGCCUAUAGCUCAGAGGUUAGAGCAGCGGACUCAUAAUCCGUUGGUCCUAGGUUCAAAUCCUAGUAGGCCCA
rnacentral:tRNA from 1 species